rnacentral:misc_RNA from 1 species
AAGACUAUAGACCUGCGGAGUACCUGCGGAGGGAUCAUUACUGUGAUUUACUACUACACUGCGUGAGCGGAACGAAAACAACAACACCUAAAAUGUGGAAUAUAGCAUAUAGUCGACAAGAGAAAUCUACGAAAAAACAAACAAAACUUUUAACAACGGAUCUCU